AUUGAACGCUGGCGGCAUGCCUUACACAUGCAAGUCGAACGGCAGCGCGGACUUCGGUCUGGCGGCGAGUGGCGAACGGGUGAGUAAUACAUCGGAACGUACCCUGUUGUGGGGGAUGACUAGUCGAAAGAUUAGCUAAUACCGCAUACGACCUGAGGGUGAGAGUGGGGGACCGCAAGGCCUCACGCAGCAGGAGCGGCCGAUGUCUGAUUAGCUAGUUGGUGGGGUAAAGGCCCACCAAGGCGACGAUCAGUAGCUGGUCUGAGAGGACGAUCAGCCGCACUGGGACUGAGACACGGCCCAGACUCCUGCGGGAGGCAGCAGUGGGGAAUUUUGGACAAUGGGGGCAACCCUGAUCCAGCAAUGCCGCGUGUGUGAAGAAGGCCUUCGGGUUGUAAAGCACUUUUGUCCGGAAAGAAAUCGCGCUGGUUAAUACCUGGCGUGGAUGACGGUACCGGAAGAAUAAGCACCGGCUAACUACGUGCCAGCCGCCGCGGUAA
rnacentral:rRNA from 1 species